GUACUUUGCUUUCCUUUGUAUGUAUUUCUUGUGUGUGGCAGCAUCACUGAUGGCUAGCUCUGUCUGGCAAGUAAUUCAAAACUACUGUUCAUGUACAAAGGAAAGGUAGACAAUUUACCAUACUCUGUCAUUACAGGGAGGAAUAGAAGAACAAAGAAACCGGGUAAAUACCUACAUACUGGCUCAUGUGUUGUGAAACAAACAGAACUGUAUUGUUCUAUCACAAACAGAACUGUAUUCAGCCAAAUAUUUUACUUCCUUUUGUAAUAAUCCAUAAGUAGGUAGUUUUUCUACAUAUGUAAUCUAUAUUUUUAGACAUAUAUUCAAUCAAUAUUUAUAGCCUGUAAAUUUGUAGAUCUGAAAGAUUUUAUAUAUUCACCAACAAACAUCUAUUUGUUAUUAUUUUUAAAGCCCUUAGAAAUUAAAAUUUACUAAUAUCCUGUUGGUUGAUUUCAUUCCAUCAAAUUAGGAUUUCAACACAGUUUAAAUCAUAUUGAUGAUUCAUAUCUUGUCAGGUCUUAUAAUUCCUGUGACAUGAGAGCACAGCUAAUAAAAAUAUGAAGCAAUUACUUUUAUUGAAAUCAUAGCUUUAUUAUGAUUAGUAGUAGAAGUAAAUUAUCUCUACAGACUGGCCUCACUCUAGUGUCUCUUGGGCUGUUGGGAGGUUUCAUAUAGAAACGGAAAGAUUCGUUUGCUCUUUCUUCUGCCAAGGGAGGAAAAAAAAAUGAAGGCGUAGAAUAAAGUCUAGGGCUGUUAAAGUAAUGUUGGCAUUAUUUCUCUAUCACGUGUGAGCCUGGCUGCCUGCUUCCUGAGGUAGGGCAUCCAGGAGGAGACUGUAUCAGAGCCUGUUUUCACAAGUGCAUUUGGAGAUCUGUCUUAUUGAUUAGCAGGGGGAAGGGGUGGGGGUCGGAGUGCGAGGGAAGGGGAGGACCAACUGACGAGUGGCUCACUGAAGCACAGGACAUUUUCUUCCUGAAAGAUGUCAAACAACUGAGAAACAGCCACAGAGGAAGUAGAAAAAUGGAAAAAUAAGGAGACCCUGGAAGAAAGCACGGCAUUUCUUAUGAAAGUCUUGAGGCUUUUUUCCCCCCUUUUCUCUCCUUUUCCUUUUUCUCCCCCCACCCUUCCAUCAUCUGACCUGCAAGGGCUAGAGUGACAGCGUCAUGCAAAUGCUGCAGUCCAGCAGGUCUGGGAGAGGGUGGCUGCUAGACUGUGAGUUAAUGUUAAUGAUGAGCGCGGUGAAAAUACCAGCCGCUGCCACCCCCUGCACACAGAAGCGCUCUGAGUCAGCAUCAGAUGCUUCGCCUCGCCUCUGCCGGGUGUCUGGUGCUGUGUGCGCGCGCGUGCUCGCUAGGCAUCCGUGUCUAGCCUAGGGGAGGGGUGGCGUGUGAGUGCGUGGAGGGUAAAAGCCAGUCAGUCAGUGAGAAGCAAAGAUCAACCACUUCAGAAGAACCAGAUUCCACUUCUAUGACCAGGACUUUUAUGUUAUGGCUGGUCCGAUUGUUUUACCCUGCGUUCUAUGCUACUAAACCUUGGAUCAUUCCUAAAGUACAAAUUCUGUUCUUGAACCACAAACAAGCUAAAAGAUCGGAGGAAAUUCAGUGAAUAUGCAGGAUUGGGAUUGUGUGUUUUCAAAAGUGUUGAGAUUUAUAAUGCAAUCAUUCAAGAAAUAGAAUCAUUUUUUUAUGUUGUUGCCAGCAUUUUAAGUUAGCUGUUUAUUAAGUGACAUUCAUCAAAUAACUACAGAUUAUGCAUGGAAAUAUUUGCUGUCUGAAUAGUUUGGAGAUUUAACGAGAAAAUCAAGCUUCAGAGGAUUCUUUGGAUCAAUAUCAUUCUGUUUAGAAGUUCUAAACACAUCAGUAUUCCAGUGAAGCUACAAAAGACUUGUAGAGGUGUCUGAGGAUUUGUGAGCAUCAAGUGAAUGUUCUAUGGAAUCAUCUUUCCUUGCCUUUGAAUUACCUUUCCCUAGGCCAUGAGUCAACAUCCAUAUUUUAUUCUUCCAAAUUGGGAUUGCAAGUUGUAAAGAGAGUGGAAGCUUAGACUCAGUGGACAUCUUUGUUGCCAUUGUGGAAAUAUCCUACUUGAGAAUGAAAGACAUGGAAUACACCAAUUUGUAACUGGAAAGAAGCCAUUUAUUUAAAAAGUUGUUCAUUUUUCCUCUCUCUUCCAAGUUCUUUCUGCCCUCUCUGACUCUCCCAUUCCAUGCCACUUCCUUUUUUCCUCUUUCCCUCUUUCUCCACUGUGUUGAUUUCAUUCUCAGGUAGGCUCUUGGCAUUUGGUGGUAAAGUGGAAGGUCUCUGGGAGCUCCAGAAUUAUGUAUCAUUGUAACAUCUUGGAAUUAUAGAAAAAAAAAGAGAAAACAAGAUUCUCUUUACCCACGUAUCAAUUUCAGGGAUAAGAAAGGCUCUGAUUGCCUGUUUUGGCCACAUGCCUAUUGGUGGAUCCAUUUCUGUCCCCAAAUUAAUAUUUCUCUGAUUGAACAUCCACUGUAGAGAAAGUAGGCAAGGAAAUUGACAUAGUAAAGCCCUGAAAAAUGAAUGAGGGUCUGACAAUGGCAGAGAUUGAAAGAAAUUUAAAGCAGGCCAAAACAUGUAAACAGGACUCUUGAAACAACCACUACCAACUUCUAAACUGUUCAGCAUGAUGCUAUCUUAUAGACUUUAGUCACAUAUUUUUGUAUUUGAAUUGACCUGGUAGGCUUGGUCAUACCUAUCAACAUGUACCCCAUGGAUUAUUCGGCCAAAUGUAUUCUGUAUAGCAUGGAAAUUGUAAAAUAUUUACUGCAUCAACUUUGACUCUCAUGGUGAUUAAUUACAGUUUAGUGAUAUCAUCUAUUAUCAUUUACUUUGUUGGAUACAUCAAAAAAGUAAGCAUUUAGCCUCAUUUAGGAAUUGGAAAUUUUAUAAGUUACUAAGAAUUCUUAGAAAUAGGAGUUCAGUUAAGAAGAGAUAGUGAUUUUAUUUUGUUAUCUAAUGUGUCUAUCCUUAGCCACCAUGAUUUGUUCAUUCUGUUAGAGCAAAUUUAUAUACUUACACCUUUUAACUUUGGUAUUGGAGAGAUUUCUAUUGCUAAUUAUUGGAAAUUCUUCGUUCAUGAAUUGAUUUCUAACCUUCACUGUGAGAUAUAUAUAUAUAUAUAUAUAUAUAUAUAUAUAUAUAUAUAUAUGGUUGGUAGAUUCUUAUACUUUAUGCUUUACUUUUUAGCAACAUUGUUUCUCAUAAUAUAACCCUGGAAGCUUUUAACAUUUUACUAUCAAUAACUGUUUUUUAGAGAUCUUCCUCUGAGAAAAAGAUUAAUUUGCUAUGAGUAAUGAUUCUAAUAUAAAACAUUUGUUUUUUAUGAUGCAAAUGAGAAAAACAAUAAAUGUAACUUAGAGUUUGAAAAUUUAUUUUAACAUUCACAAUUAUUCUUACUAAUUAAUCAAAUCACAAAAUUAUGCUGUAGUUUCUAGUUUAUUAAAAUAAGUUGUCAUAUUUGGAACAUAUUUUUAUUGUCCUCUUAUGAAUAUGUGUUUCUAAAAAGUUGAAAUAUAGAUUUCCACAAAUGUUUGUAAUUUAUUCUGUGGCAGGAUGAUACCUAUUUCCCCAUACAAUGCUUGUUUAUUUCCCACAGAGUCAAUCUUCUAGAUUGUAUUUUAUCAUUCUUUUAUCACGAUGGAGAAAAAAAGACCCAGGUCUUCUUUAAGCCUUGCUGAUUGGAUAAGGAAAAGGAUGGCUGUCAUCAACAGCCUUUCCAGACACUAUACUGUGGCUCCAGACAGUCAGCUGGUGCUAUCACUUUGUCUCAACUAUAAAUCACAAUUUCCUAAUGGCCAAGGUUGACACGCUGACAUUUUCAAGAAGAGUAAAAGACCUGAUUUGAAUGGAAAUCAAUUUCAUUUCACAAAUCUUGUGUUACUACUUCAAGUCUCUUCUUGUGUCUUCUUGAGAUUUGAGGUUUUCAUGAUCAUCAUAGAAUUAUUUGAAUUUUAUAUUGUGACUUUUUUUUAGCUAGAAAACUAGUUUAUUAUUUCUAUAUUCAUUCUUAAUAUAAAAAUUAACUUGUAAAUUUUAUAUUAGAAAAUAUCAUUAAUAAUCCAGAUUUUACUCUAACUAGGGUACACUGAUAGUUUUCAAAAUGAUAGUAGUAGUACUUACUUUGUUUUAAAAAUGUUUGUGACAUGUUCUGGGAUUUAAAGAUAUAAGCUGUGUAAACACAGAAUUAGGCUUUGAUUAUCUAAUAAUAAAUAAUAUCAAAUAUUGAGUGAUUUUGAACUUCAAUUAAGCAGGUCUCAAACCUAAAAUUCUAUGAAGAAUAUUUGUACUUUUAUGUUCUUUCAUAUUAAAAGAAAGUUUUAAGUAUUAAGUUUUAAAUAUUCUACAGUCAGUGAUGAAUAACAAGCACUUAAUUGUGUUAGGUAGUUUCAGACGUUAAACUGACACAGCUUUUAAUCACUCAAUCCAAGUGAGGUAGAAAUAACUUCAUACUUUAUUAGUGUAAAGUUCUUUUUAGGAGCUUGGCACUGAAUUUUGUGUAAAAGUUAGUGCAUUUGUUAGACAAUUGUUAUCUGGGUGCCUACUGAAGUAUAAGCAAAGUUUGUGAAGGACCUGCAGUGUUCACAGAGGUUUUCCUCUUGAUGGUGGAAUUUCACAAUGUAGUAGACUAGGAUCUCUUUAAAUGUUUGGGGCCAAAUACAAGGAUUUAAGUGGCAAGAUUCAUCUGUUUCCAAUCAGCAUGGCUUAAGACAUCAAUCCAGAGAAUAUAUCAGAACCAUCAAGAAAGCUUUAUGAAGACACAUCAUUCUUCUUGCCCUGUAAAUUCUGACUCAGCAGAAAUCUCAAAAGCGUAUGAUGUGCCAGGCACUGUUACAGGGACAGGAAUAUGGUGAUGAACAAAUAUGAAGAUGCUCAAGAAAGCCCUCUUGCCCAUUUCCCAUGUGAAGUUGAAUAAGAAGAUGGCUGUCUAUGAAGAAGCAGGCUCUCUCCAGCCAUCUAGUCUAUGAUGUCUUGGGGAAACAGCAUGAAAAAACUAAAACUGAAGUAAACUAGAGAAAUGGAGCUUUAGAGAAGUAUACUCAUGAACAAAGCUCUGAAGCUUUAGUCAACCCAACUCUCCAUUUGCCCUCCUGAACACCAAAAAACAAGAUUCCAUCCUGUGAUUCAUGCAGCAACAGCGUUCAAGUGAUGGCAAAAAUGAAAGUCACAGACAAGUCAGUAUGCGGUACACUGGGCUGAACAUACAGAGUUUAGUGUUUCUUUGGAGGAAUUGUGACAAUAACAUUUGUUCCCUCUGCCCUCCUUCCCCUCCAUUUCCUGUAAAAUCUACCUUUUCCUACUCUCACUUGCUCUCAUACAGUUUGUGUAGAACUGGCCUAUCCCUGGCUCAAAAGCAUGACCUAUUCUGGCCAGAGAGAGUGGGUCAUACCUCCCAGCAAUCUCAGGAAGAAUGGGAAACUUGGUAAAUUAGUAAUAGUAUUUUGAACUUUGAUGCAACCAUGAAUAAAUAUUCCAACUUUUUCCUUGACUAUGAGUAUGCUUCUUGUUUUGCUUGAACUAAUUGAAAUUAAAUAUUAUUUUCAACUGGAAGAGUCCCAAUUGAUAUUUAUUCUAAUUUCCUAAAAUUCAGAUCCAGUAGGUCAGCUUAAAAAUUUCUAUGACUCACCAUUUCCUAUAAAGUCCAAAUCUUUACCUAAUUAUGAGUAACAUAUAGGUUUAACUGUAAUGCAGUUAAUAUGUUCUCUCUCACUGGUUUAUUGAUUAUAGUGUUAGCCAAGAGCGGACAAGGUAGAAUAUUUGAUCUAAUUAUCAUUCUUUUAUUAUCCUUAUCAAACAGACCUCGAGAAAGCAACAGACAUGCGCUUAGAACUUACAUGGCUUUUGGCAGAUUUUCUUUCCCCUUUCAUGCAGUUGUUACAGAGGAUUUGGCAUGUACUUUGUUUAUUAUUGUAAAAGCAUAUUAUUGACAGUGUAGAAAUUUUAGAGAAUACACCUAUUUUGUUUGUACUGAGAGAAAUUAUUGUAGAGAAGUGAAUCUUCAUGUUUUUCUUGGAUCAUUAAUGUUCACAUUAUCAGGGAAAUUGUUAGUGAUGCACAUUUUUGAACCCAACUUCAAACCAACUGAAUCAGGAAAUCUUUAGAUGGCACGCAGAAACCUGUAUUUUAACACAAUUAAAAUCAUCCCAUGAUACAUGAAAAAAUAUUUGAACCAUUAUGGGGCCUUGGGGAAACUAUGCCUCAUAUCCUUUUCUCUGACAUAAAUAAAAUGCUCAGUAAAUUUUAGAUAAUGCUAUAGCUGUUGAAGCAACAUUCUGAGAAACAUGCUUACUUGUAAUAGUCAAGCAAGGUUUAUUUUAAAUUAAGAACUUACCUCUAAAGUCACGUAAAGAUUGAAGUCAGAGAAUUGAAUGAGUGAUUAAAUUCAUACUGAAAAAUGAAAACAAUGGAUAGCUCUUAUAAAUCUUAGAGUAGUAACUUAAACCUAGUAUAACUUCAGUUGACAUAUAUAUAUAGAGAGAGAGAGAGAGAGAGAGUUUUAAGUGUAGUUUUGCAUUCACCAAAAUGCAGAAACAUGUACUAACUUUAGUUAAGAUAAUAUUUAAAUCUCUAUUAUUUUUAAACUGCUGUGUUUUCUUUUUACUGAAAGUUAUUUUUCAGUUCUAAGGGCUUAAUUCUUUUCUAGCCCCAAGGACUCAAAUGUUAACUUCAUGUUUAUAAAUAGAUGAGCCUGAGACAUCUCAUGUCUAGUAGCACGUAUUUUUGUUGGUGAAACAUUUUCUAAAAUUUGUAAGUAACUCAAAGUUUUUGCUCUUGAUGUACAGUAGCCCAAAAAAGGUACACCUUCUCUCUACUGUGGCCAUUGCCUUCUAGGAAGUUUAAAGUGUCCCAAGAGUUUUCUGGAUCUCUAUUUGCAUGCUGUUUGGAUGUAUAGGUUCAGAAUUUUGCUGGUUUUCCAUUUCAUACUCUAAUAUCAUAUAGACUGCACUUGCUCCUUUAUAGUUAUACCAUCAUAUAUCUCUAGACUUGAAAAUUCAGUUAUAUGUUGUAUGCAGGACAGUAUUUGCUUAUUAAAAAUAUUAAAUUCCAGGCACUAAUCUAGGCAUUAAGUUCAUAAUGAUUAUAUGAGUCACUGUGACCAUAAUGAUAAUAUCUAUAAACCAUAAUUUUCCUAUUAGGCAGAAACUGAACUUUAUUUUGUUUCUUUUUAUCUUCAUAGAGAUAUGGGAACAUGCAUAGGUGCACAAGAAAAACUUUUGGAUCAUUAAAGUACAUAGUAUAUUUUUGAGAGAUUUUGAGAAGCCUGAUUAGAGAAGGAAACAUGAAAAGUAUAGGCUUAGGAAGUGGAAGAUUAUUUGUGCUGCAGUGUGUUAUAAAAAGAACUUAGUAGAGGUGCUUGGUUUUUAGGUUAAAUAACAGAGAAAAUAAAUGUCACAGCAGUUACAGAUUGACUGAAAUUAUGUUUCAUACAGUGCACUCCUGCUUGACCUUGUAGAGACUUGUGGGAAGCAUCAAAAAGAGCACUGAAAUCAGGCCUGGAGAAACAUGUUUUGAAGCUUGGCUUUACCACUAUUAGCUGUUUGACUUUAGACAAAUUUAAGUUCAUGAAAUUCAUAUAAACUGGCUCCUUAGAUCUAUCAGGAUAUUGCAAACAUCACCAGAACAGGAUAUUUGAAAGAACUUCAAUACAUUUUUCUAAAUGUUCAAUGUUUUUCUAGCAGAAUAGGAUUGAAUUUGGAGGCAGGCACCUUGAGUUGAAAGACAGUGAUGAAAAUGUGAGUUUUUGGAAGAAGGGAAACCAUGUCCUAAAUUAUGAUCUGUAAGGACUGCCAUAAAAUUUUCUUACCAAAAUCUGGAGUGGGUGUAAAUGGUUUCGAGAAUAUGUAUCUUACAAACUGUGUCACUAUGAACAUGAGUGCACAUAUAUCAUAGCGGUGCAGUUUGUAAUAGCUAAAACUUGGAAACAGCCCAAUUGCCCAUCAAUUGGAGACUGGUAAAGAAAAUGUGUUUUUUCUUUUUUAAAUGGAGUAUUACUCAGCCAUAAAGAACAAGAAACUAGAGACAUUUAUAGCUAAAUGGAUGCACAUUGAGGUCAUCUUCUUAAGUGAAAUGAAUAGAACACACAAGUGUAAAUACUGAAUACUUUCUCUGGUGUGAGAAACUGAAAGUGUAAAUAAGAAUCAAAAUGUAUAAUAGAUAAUGUGAAAUAGGAAGCAAAGGUCCAAAGGGGGAGUGGGAGGUGUAGGAAAAAGGAAAAAAAGGGAAAGGAAUAAAUUUGAGAAAAAAAAAAAGGGAACAAAGUUUGUAAAUAGGGAGGGGGUGGAGGGGUUGAACAGAGGGCAGGAGAAUGGAGAAAAAAUAAGAACCAAAAUAUAUUAUGUAAAGGUAGAAAUUCCCAAUAAUGAAUGUCAGCAUAUUGUAUACCUAAAAUGUUCCAAUAAACUUAAUGAAAAAAGUAUAUGUAUCUUGAUCAUCAAAAGUCUCACUAUACACCUAUAAUUUAAACUGUUAUUGUAUGACACAAUUGAGAUAUAUUAAAUUUCUUUUAUUCUCAAAGACAGUACAGAAAACAAAAGGAAGUUUUAUUUCUCAUAAAACUUAUUUUCUCAUACUCUUCAUAAAAAGUAUAGUAUAUUUUCUGAACAGUGAUUUCCUGGGUUAUAGUUACUUGAUAUUUGUUUUUCUAGGCACAAGGAUAUUGUGAUUGGUUCUACAUUUAUGAAAGUAACAAACUAUGAACAUAGUAUAAUACAUUUUGCUUGAGUGGAAGCAGUAGUAUAAAUAUUUCACUAAAAUUAAAACAAGUAUUUUAGGUUGUAUUCUUAUUAGGUUGUUUUCUUAUUUAUAAAUAGACUUGAUUAUUAUUGAAUAUGUUUCUCAUUGGCAUUUUAAAUUUUAUUAUAUUAUAUGGUGAUGCACCAUAUAAAGAUAUUUUGGUCAAUGAUGGUUCACAGUGGUAUAUUCCAUAUGGCAUAGGUGUGUAAUAGACUAUAUCAUUUAGAUUUGUUCUCUCUAUGAUAUUUACACAACAAAAUUAUCUAGAACAUUUUUUCUUAGAAUUUAUCUAUAAUUAAGCAAUGCAUGAUACCAUUUAAUAUCAUAUAUAAUACAUUUUUAUUUUAUUACAUUUUAGAAAACAUAUUAGAUUGAAAAUCAGAAAACAUAGGAGGUGAUCUUUAAUUCACACAAUCUGUGUAUCAUAUCUUUAUCUUCCUUUCACCUCUUUCUCAGUAUAAUUAUGUAUUCUACUGUCUUACCCUCUAACUUAUGCCUAGGUCUUCCUCCAAUGAGUCAUGCAUUCACAAGCAUAUGGAGGGAGACAUUUAGUCUUAUUCUUUGAUAUCUUUAGCACAGGGACUAGAACAUUGUUGAUGCUUCAUAAAUAUCAAGGCAAAUACAUUCAUUUGAAUUGAAUAUUAGCCUUUGAUCAAUUCAAUAAAAACGGUGCAAAAUUAGUUAAGACUGCCAUCAAAUCUUUUGUAUUUCCUGUCAAAUUAAACAAUAAUUUGAUUCUCAGAGAUUCUUAGUACUUCAUUUACAAACAGAAAUCUGGGAAAUAAUAUGUCUAUUCUUAUAUUCUUCAAAAGAUAUGCUUUUCUUUCAGGGAAUGGAUAUACUAAGAAUAUUCAUAGAAGCUGAAUAUAAGUGACCAAUAUGAUAUAGCCCAAAGGUGUGUGCAAGUUGAAGGGCAGAUAGGAAGAGAUUAUGUCAAGGUAGUAGAUACUGUCUGUGAUAGUUGCUAGCAGAGACAAACACUACCUGAUGCCUUUUCACUAUCCACUUCCCAAGCCAUGCCAAUUAAGUAGAAAUGUGUCCAGCUGAAAACUUGUUUAGUAACCUUUGGUCCAAAUAGAAGUAGGCAUGUGACUCAAUUCUGACCAACAAUAAAAUUGGUGGAGGCUUCCAUGUAAUUUUUAUAGGGGAGAUAAACUUACUGGAAUGGCCUUUUAGUCCUUUUCCCUGCCUCCUGCAUGGAUGCCUGGAGGUGCAAUCAUUGCAAUCAUGAGGAUUAAAACCACAUUUUAUAGUUGGUUUCAGUAAGAGUAGAAAAGAAAUCUGGAUCAUAAGGACAUUCGGCUACAGUACUAAUCCUGAUCUUUCUAUCCAUGGACUUGUUACAUGAGACAAAUAAACCUUUUAUUUAUUUAAUGUACAGUUUGUUGGGCUUUCUCAAAACUAAACACAAUCCUCAUAUAUUUGCCCUUCUGGGAAAAAAGGUAGUACAUGACUUUCAAAAUCUAAUGAGAUUCAUGUAUGACUUAAACCACUCUACUGAAGCAGUUCCAUUUCAGUCCAUGGUGCAAGGCAGUUGCCCUGAAUAACAUAUAGUGUCUAAUAAUUUUGUUUCUUUGUUAGUUUUUCCUGAAGCCUAGGGUCAAAGAGCCCAGAAAAUUGUAAACAUAGAGAUGUAAUCUCUGUGCACAUUGGCUGAUAAAUGCUAUUAUGAUUUGUAUGCCUAGAUUUGGUAAAGAACGAAUAUUCAACAUCUCUACAUAAUAUUGCUUUAAUUAAAUUCUUUUCUCUCUGGCUGUCAUACAUGCCACACAGGCGCAAUCAACGAACAUUGACAAUUUGCUUAAAUCUUACUCUUUGUCCUAUUUGUAUAAUUUAUUGUGUCAGUGUUCCUCAAGUGGUGUGCUCCUGCAACUCAUCAUCUAGAAAUCCUUCCCAGAUGUGCUGAAAUUUUUCAUUAAUUUGUACAAGUAUUGUUUUGUAAUUAAAUACACACGCUUUUGACUGGAAGAGAAAACACCUCUCUUUAAUCCCAGAGAAUUAUUUGGCCUUGAGAAAAAUUGAUUCAUGCCCUUCCCACUUCAUCCUCCUUAUUCAGAUAGAUAUUCCUGAAGCAUUCGCUGCUUUAUAAAUUUACUUGGUCCAAAGAUGAAAAAGAAAAAUCCAUUACUUUAAAGAUUUCUGCAGGAUCUACCUAUAACUCACUUUUUAGUUUCCAAUUAAGAAUAACAUAACUCUAGAGUAGGCUUCAACCCUAAUUUUCCAAACUGGAAUACAAUUUCAAAGCAGGAAGUGACAAUCUCUGUAGUGGUACUUGUCCACAGAGGUGAUAUUUCUGGUUAUUGAAUUUCAAGACUAGAAACUAAGCUUACUAUCUUUUAGCUUGGUAACUGUAAAGAGAGGGUGAGGACUGCUCUGUAUAUUAAUAAAGACUAUCAUAAGCAGCUGAAGAAAUUGGCUUAGCUCUACUUCUUAGUGUCCAUGUUUGUUUGUUUGUUUUUUGGUAUGAAGCAUGGAAUAUAAAACUAAUACUGCAUUUACUACAUUCAUUUGCAGCUAGGUUCCUGAGUGACAUUGGGUUUGGCUGGUUUGAUAACCAGGGUCACAUUUAGAAGGGAAAUGUGAGGCAAAUACCACAUGGUUGACUGAUUCUAUUUAUUUCUAAUGACCUUUACUAGGCACACUUUGUAUAGAAAAUAAUGAGCAUAUUUUAAGUAUAUAGUUUAAUGAGUUCUGACUAAUUUAUUGAUCUAUUUAACCAAUAUCAAUAUCAAUGUGUAUAUUAAUUUCCUUACUCCAUAAUAAAACUUUGUGCUCCUUUCCAGACAACCCCCAAAUCCUGGACCCAGACAACUAUUGAUCUGCUUUGUAUUGCCAUAGAUCAUAUUUUCUUUUCUGAGAGAUUCAAUAAACAGAUUCUUAUAUUAAAUCAUCUUAACUCUGGCUUAUUCCCAUCACCAUGAUAUUUUGAAAUAUAUCAAUACUGUUUGUAUAGUAAGCAAAGAUUUAAGAUGGGCUCAAAAAAUCUUCACUCCUGGUAUAUGUACCUUUUACCUCUUAUCCAACCAAAGUUAAUUUAAAUGAUACUAUGAAAGGAUUUUCAAGGUAUAAUUAAAGUCCUUAAUAAGUUUGCUUUAAGUUAUGUGGAUUUUCCUAGGUGAGCCAGACCUAAGUAGGUGAGCCAUUAGAAAAAUUAGAGCUAUUCAAAGAACAGGAGAAAUUUUGUCACCAACUUUAAAAAGAUAACUUCCAUUUUGUGAUGAAGUCCAUAUGUCAAGUAGGCCUAGGCAGCUUCUAGGAGCUGAGAAUCACCCUAGUUUCAUGGCCAGCUAGCAACCUUCCCUAUAACCUCAGACCUAUAAACAUAAGAAACUGAAUUCUGUUAAAAACCAGUUAGAAAAACCUUGAGCUUUAAUUGAAAUUGAGGCUCUGACCAAUACCUUGAAUUUAACCUGAUGAGGCCUGAAGAGAGAACUCAAUUAUGUUCUUCCAGGUUUCUAUCCUACAGAACCAUGAUUUAAUAAAUGGACAAUAAUUGAAACUUAAUUGCUAACAAGUUGCUAUAAACUCUAGGAAUGUAGUUAAAUAAUUGACAUCCCUCAGCAACUGAGUAUUUUAUUUAUUAAAAAAUAAAUUACUAUAUGGGAGAGAUUACACAAGGCUGUGAAUACCAGGAAGGUGUGAUAUCUAGGGUUUGAUUUUAAAAGCUGUGUAAUUUUGUAGUGAUUUGUUAGGCACCAAUGCAAAAUGAAUAUACUGAAUGUCA
rnacentral:lncRNA from 1 species